AUGUCGUCCCUCAUAAGGGACAAGACGUUUGUACAGUGAAGGCGAGUGUCAGAUGGAGCAGUAAUCGUCAGAUGUCACGUGGAAGGUGCCUCACCCAUGUUCCUGUGGGAGAUCCCUGAGGGGACCAUAGAGAUGCAUCCCCCCCACCCCCAGGGGAAAGCUGCUGUCUGGUUGCCUCCCUGGAUGAAACAGAUCAACAGUAUAGAGAAAACUAAAAACAGGGGCCAAGGAGGAGGAACGGGAGCCAGGGAGUAAAGAAGACGCCAUGUGUCCAUUCUGGGGCGAGUCCCAGAGCCGGGAGGCAAUUCACAGAACCGGACGAGCAGGGCUGUGGCAUUCCCCUUGUCCGAAAGGGGCAAGCGCUCCUCUGCGCCUGCCGUUUGUUGCAGGGCAGGUCAGCUGUUACCAGAUCUUCAGGUUUUCUUUUCUUUCUUUUUUUUGAUGUAAAUCAUUUUGAAACUCUUUACUGAAUUCAUUACCGUGUGGCUUCCUUUUUAUGCUUUGUUCUUUUGGCCGCAAGGCACGUGGGGUCUCAGCUCCCCGACCAGAGAUUCAGCUCACACUUCGUGUGCUGGAAGGUGGUCUCAACCACUGGACUGUCAGGAAGUCCCCAGGUUUUCAAAAGAAGCCAGACUGCUGGAUUUUGGUGUGAAGCUAUGCCAUUUUUGAAACACAAUGUACAUUUUGAAUAGAUUCUGUUCCGGGUUUUUGAACACCUGAAAAUAAAACUAUUCUUUGAGUCAAAAACGAUGGUACAGUUUUGAGAUUUGCCCGAGCUGCCACCAGGGGGUAGGGAAGAGACGUCGCAGAGUAUCACAAGUGGUGGAAGAAGAGCAGACGUUACAGGACUGUCUUUUCUGAAUCUGGCCCAUUUAAUGCACCAGGAGACUCGAGAGAUUCAGGUUCAAUCCCUUGGUCAGGGAGAUCCCCUGGGGAAGGAAAUGGCAGUCCACUCCAGUAUUGUUGCCUGGAAAAUUCCAUGGAUAGAGGAGCCUGGUGGUCUACAGGAAGUACUCUGGAGCUAAUGCAUGGGGGCUGGGAAAGACCCUGCCUGUGGGUCUCUGGCACCCCAUUGACAUCAGAGCACCGAGUGGAGGGUUGCAGACUGCGGGGCAUCCAAAGGACCCAAGACAGGUUGGCUCUCCCCACAGUGCUUCUUCAUACCAUGUGGACUCCUACGAGGACAAUGAGCAUCACAACUUCCUUUGAAUUUGAUCUGGACAGGCCUGAUAAUCUAUGUGAGCCUGCUUCUGCUGACUCCAAAAGUCCUGAGUCUGCCGUUUGAUCCUCAAGACAAUGCCUUCCUGUCCUGGGCUCAUUCCUAUGCUGCCUUCCACAAUCAGUCUAACUGCUGGGUCUGCAGAGUGCUUCCCUUUUCAUCGGAGGGCUUCCCUAUGGUGGGCGUCUCCACUUCAAGGAAAGGACUUCCUCCAAGUCUGUGAAUACCUUCGACAACAACAAUCAUAUGUGAUGCCUCUUCUUAAUCUGAUGACAUCUAACAAUCCUAAAAUGGACUGGUGCAACACUCUGUACCUUAACUGUGG
ensembl:lncRNA